CUGCUUCUGGACCUUUGAGCCCAAUCCGUUUCCUGGUUAGAUUGCAUCAGGUUCUUCCCUGCACUUGGCACUGUUAGGGGUUUUCUUUUAGCCAUUCUGGCAGCCAAGCAGGUGAGCUCAGAGCAAAAUGGGACUGGUGAACAGAAACCCAAGAGCCAGCCGUGGCCAGAGUCACUCCUCAGGAAGCCCCAGGCCCACUCCGCACCCGCAUGCUUGAGCAAAAAGGAGGAAGACACCAGAGUUUCCCCAGCGAGCUCCCAGCUCAAGCCCCUGACUCCUCUCCUCCUCCAAGGAUACUGGCGGCCGAGUCCAUCACUCUGCACACGGCCCUGGGAGCAGCAGAGCUGGCUGACCUUCCCACUGGAUUUCGUUCUCUUCACACAGCUGCCAUGAGAUUCAGCAGUUUCCCUGAAUUACACCCCCUACGAAGAUGUAAUCCUACUCUUCAUAACCAUAGAGCAUAAAUUCAUGCUGUUUUAGGCCACUAAGUUUGUAGUAAGGCCUCAUUCCUUAAAAGAUAAAUGUGAAACUGCA